CAGCAAUCACUUUCCUGUGGGUCCUUCAUGUGAAGUUUAUACAGCAACAGUGAAACAGUCUAGGCAAGAGCACCCCAAGAGCACUGGGCUACAGCUUCAGUCUCUAAUUUGAAGGUGAAGUGAUGCUGUUAAUGACACCAGACACUUCAACACAGGACUUUGAGGAAUUAAGUUAGAGCUGACCCGGACGCCUCCUCCCUGAGGACUAACUCUCACGGUACUGGAAUGUGCUAUGACGUCUGCCAAAGGAGAACGACAAUCAAUAGUCCCAGCCACCUGUAAAGCCAAAGGACUGGCGCAGGAAGACAGCAAAGAGGACCAUCACAGAGCUGAAACUGAUGUAGCUGCAGAGAAUAACUGACUAUGGGAUGCUCAGCCCCAGAUCAUACGUCUACAACACAACUCCUGUAUCUAAGGCUCAUGGAACACCACAGAAGAGGAAGGGAAAAAGAUUUAAGAGCCAGAAGAUCAGGAUGUCUUCUGGGAGAUUGAGUCUUCUAUUAUGACAGGGAAGUGGUAUACACAAAACCCCCAUAAUCUGGCAGCCUAGACCAGUCCUUAACAAUGACAAAGCAGUUGUCCUGCCGCUGUGGAUGGGGACGUCUCAUAGGGCCAUAAACCUGAAUGAAGAACUAUAGGAAGUGAGUGAUUGCUGCGAGUUGGAGACCAGUGUUCCCUAGGAAUGAGUCGAUGAUGGGGGAAGUCCUUCUGUGUAUAUGUAAAUAAAGCUCUGUUGGACAAUAGGGAAGCAAGAUAGGUGGGACUAGGAGUCGAGGAGGA